rnacentral:siRNA from 1 species
AUAAAUUAGCACAGCCUUGGUACA